GUACUUAUAACUAAGAAGGUUAUACCAACGGGUUGAUUUCUCUCCGGAUCUACAUAUUUCGGCAAGGCUAAUUUGUGCUCCACCCUAUUGAGAGCAAAAACACAGUUUUAGUGUAAUACUAAAAUGAACCACUACCACACCAGUAAGAAGAAAUGAGAGCAAAAAACCAGGACCACUUGACUUCGGCAAGUUUGACAAAAGAAAAAUUGCCCUAUUUAUCCCCAUUGCAACAGCACUAGUAAUGCUUUAUGUUGAAUUAUUUUUAACAUUGUCUAGGACUUCCAAUCCAAGCAGCAAGUGCUUCACUACAGCUCCUGUGUACAAGAAUCCAGAAGUAUGAAUGGUGCUACUGCAACCAGGAUAAAUUACAGCCAGAGGUUCAAAGAAAAAGAGAAAGGAACAGGAGGUGAAGACUCCCUUUCAAGAAAUCUGCAAGGCUGACAGAAACCCCUGCCUUGGACUGAGAUGUUUUAGUUUUGCAUAUUCCAUUCCUCUUCAACUGCCUUGUCAUGGUUUAGGACACAUCCCGACAUAUUCAAAACCAAAAUAAAACUGAUUUGCAAUUUAUUGAAUCCACGUUUGAGUGGACUCCAUUGCACCAGCCCAGCACACCGCAUGCUGAGCACACCCGCUGCGAGUUAACGUGCUCCCACCUGGAGCUCAGGUACUGUAGGACUGUACAUGCUACCAAAAAAACCCCCAAAACAUUUGGAAAACAGAUGCUUUCCUGAACCAAAGUGUGCUUUGCAAAGCAAGGGAAGGAAGAAAUGCAGAAGCACCAGAAAAUGUCCCGCUCCAGCCAAGGGAGAUGCUACACAUGCAGGACAAAACAUCGACUCUUCCGUGUCCAAGGAUGAGUUCCGUAGCAGAACGAACGCCCCCUCUCCACUCAAUGCUGUUGCUCUGGGCACUGCUACAGUUAAGAACCUUGCUGGCUAGUUCUACUUCCAGGCAAGUCUUUUCCUAGCAAAUACAGACCUUUGUGGAAAAAAAAAAUGCAUCUUAUUUCAGUUUGUGGGUUUAUUACUUCCUUAACAUCACUACACAUGAAGUGUAGCAGCAUUUCAGAAAGGGUAAAUUUUUAAGAGUGUGAAAAAACAAAAACCAACAUCUGUUUAAUUCCUCCUGGAAUCUCAUACAAAUACUUCAAGCGUGUUUAUUUCACCCACUUACACUUUUUGAUCUUCUUGUAACAGCAGUGCUGGAACAUUACUCAGCUGAAUGACCAGUAUCGCAAACUGUUUAUUUUUGUCAUCAUAUCU